UACGAAGGGGGCUAGCGUUGUUCGGAAUCACUGGGCGUAAAGGGCGCGUAGGCGGCCGAUCAAGUCGGGGGUGAAAGCCUGUGGCUUAACCACAGAAUGGCCUCGAUACUGUUUGGCUUGAGACCGGAAGAGGUUAGUGGAACUGCGAGUGUAGAGGUGAAAUUCGUAGAUAUUCGCAAGAACACCAGUGGCGAAGGCGGACUGACUGGUCCGGUUCUGACGCUGAGGCGCGAAAGCGUGGGGAGCAAACAGG
rnacentral:rRNA from 1 species